rnacentral:rRNA from 1 species
GUGGCGCACGGGUGAGUAACACGUGAGCAACCUGCCGGGAAGCCCGGGAUAGCCCUCCGAAAGGAGGAUUAAUACCGGAUGUGGCCACCCUGCGACUGCGGGGGAAGCUAAAGGAUUUAUUCACUUCCCGAGGGGCUCGCGGCCCAUCAGCUUGUUGGUGAGGGUAACGGCCCACCAAGGCGACAACGGGUAGCUGGUCUGAGAGGAUGGUCAGCCACACUGGAACUGAGACACGGUCCAGACACCUACGGGUGGCAGCAGUCGAGAAUCAUUCGCAAUGGGGGAAACCCUGACGAUGCGACGCCGCGUGGAGGAUGAAGGCCUUAGGGUUGUAAACUCCUGUCAAGAGGGAAUAAGCAAGUGAAGGUACCUCUAGAGGAAGGGGCGGCUAAUUCCGUGCCAGCAGCCGCGGUAACACGGAAGCCCCGAGCGUUGUUCGGAUUCAUUGGGCGUAAAGGGUGCGUAGGCGGCGCGGAAAGUCCGGCGUGAAAGGCAGGGGCUCAACCUCUGGACUGCGUUGGAUACUUCCGUGCUUGGGGACUGGAGGGGAGACUGGAAUUCACGGUGUAGCAGUGAAAUGCGUAGAUAUCGUGAGGAAGACCGGUGGCGAAGGCGAGUCUCUGGACAGAUCCUGACGCUGAGGCACGAAGGCUGGGGGAGCGAACAGGAUUAGAUACCCUGGUAGUCCCAGCAGUAAACGAUGUGAGCUUGAUGUGGGGGGAUUCGACCCCUUCCGUGUCGAAGCUAACGCGAUAAGCUCACCGCCUGAGGAGUACGGCCGCAAGGCUAAAACUCAUAGAAAUAGACGGGGACCCGCACAAGCGGUGGAGUAUGUGGCUUAAUUCGAUGCAACGCGAAGAACCUUACCUGGCCUUGACAUGCAUUGUGUCGUCGGUGAAAGCCGGCUAGUCCUGGAAACAGGACUCUUUGCACAGUUGUCGCAUGGCAGUGGUCAGCUCGUGUCGUGAGAUGUUGGGUUAAGUCCCGCAUCGAGCGCAACCCUUGUGGUCAGUUACUAACCGGCUUAGCCGGAGGACUCUGGCCAGUCUGCCCUGUCAACCGGGGAGGAAGGUGGGGAGGACGUCAAGUCAGUAUGGCCCUUAUGGCCAGGGCUGCACACGUACUACAAUGCCCGGUACAAUGUGAACCGAAACCGCGAGGUGGAGGAAAUCGCU